AUCUUUUGCCGUUGUCUACAGUGA
rnacentral:siRNA from 1 species